CCGGCGGUCGUCGCCACGCCGCGGUGGCUCACGGCUGCUGCUGUCAUCCCUUUCUUCAAUCUCUUUUCUUUUUCUCUAUUUUAUGGUUUUAAUACCUUAAAUUAAUAAAUCUCUAAUUAUUUCCCUAUUUCAGGGAAUGUUGCUUCAAGACGUCUCCGGCGGCAGAUCCGUUUCCAAUUUUUGCAAGAAAAGUUCUUUAUGCAAUACACAUUCGUUCAAUUUUUUUUUUUUUUUUUUUUUGAGAAAACACAUUCGCUCAAUUGCUUUGCUUAAGCAUAUCGACUGACAUUUUCUAUUCAAAAUAUCAUCUUCUCGACGAUUAAGAAGAAACUAAAUUGUUGUUAAAUUCACGUUUUUUCAAAUAUGCCUAAAAUUUUGGAAAAAUAACUUCUAGAAAUUUGCCGGGAAAAU
rnacentral:lncRNA from 1 species